GUGGAAGUGGCGGAAUUGGUAGACGCACCAGAUUUAGGUUCUGGCGCCGCAAGGUGUGAGAGUUCAAGUCUCUCCUUCCGCACCA
rnacentral:tRNA from 1 species